AGAGUUUGAUCAUGGCUCAGAACGAACGCUGGCGGCGUGGAUAAGACAUGCAAGUCGGACGAGAUUUUUCGUUGUAGCAAUACGAUGGAAAGUCUAGUGGCGAACGGGUGCUUAACACGUGGGCAAUCUGUCUUAAAGUGGGGGAUAGCUCGGCGAAAGCCGAAUUAAUACCGCAUGUGAUUAGAGUGGACAUCCAUUCGAAAUUAAAGGUGGCGCAAGCUACCGCUUUUUGAGGAGCCCGCGGCCUAUCAGCUUGUUGGUGAGGUAACGGCUCACCAAGGCUGUGACGGGUAGCUGGUCUGAGAGGACGACCAGCCACACUGGGACUGAGACACGGCCCAGACACCUACGGGUGGCAGCAGUCGAGAAUUUUUCUCAAUGGGGGAAACCCUGAAGGAGCGACGCCGCGUGGAGGAUGAAGGUCUUCGGAUUGUAAACUCCUGUCAUUGGGGAACAAGUCGCUUACGUUAACUGCGUGAGCGUUGAUAGUACCCGAAGAGGAAGAGACGGCUAACUCUGUGCCAGCAGCCGCGGUAAUACAGAGGUCUCAAGCGUUGUUCGGAUUCAUUGGGCGUAAAGGGUGCGUAGGCGGCGCGGUAAGUCGGGUGUGAAAUCUCGGAGCUUAACUCCGAAACUGCAUUCGAUACUGCCGUGCUUGAGGACUGGAGAGGAGACUGGAAUUUACGGUGUAGCGGUGAAAUGCGUAGAUAUCGUAAGGAAGACCAGUGGCGAAGGCGGGUCUCUGGACAGUUCCUGACGCUGAGGCACGAAGGUCAGGGGAGCAAACGGGAUUAGAUACCCUAGUAGUCC
rnacentral:rRNA from 1 species